rnacentral:rRNA from 1 species
CGGGACGGGUGAGUAACGCGUGGGUAACCUGCCCUGUACAGGGGGAGUAACAGUCAGAAAUGACUGCUAAUACCGCAUAAGACCACAGCACCGCAUGGUGCAGGGGUAAAAACUCCGGUGGUGCAGGAUGGACCCGCGUCUGAUUAGCUGGUUGGUGAGGUAACGGCUCACCAAGGCGACGAUCAGUAGCCGGCUUGAGAGAGUGAACGGCCACAUUGGGACUGAGACACGGCCCAAACUCCUACGGGAGGCAGCAUG